rnacentral:rRNA from 1 species
AACAAACGCUGGCGGCGUGCCUAACACAUGCAAGUCGUACGAGAAAGGGUCCUUCGGGGCCUGAGUAAAGUGGCGCACGGGUGAGUAACGCGUGGAUAAUCUGCCCUUUAGUUGGGAAUAACUCAUCGAAAGGUGGGCUAAUACCGAAUAAUGCUGUGAGACCUUGGUUGAUCAGCCAAAGAGAGCCUCUGCUUGCAAGCCCUCGCUGAAGGAUGAGUCCUCGUACCAUUAGCUAGUUGGUAGGGUAAUGGCCUACCAAGGCGACGAUGGUUAGCUGGUCUGAGAGGAUGAUCAGCCACACUGGAACUGAGACACGGUCCAGACUCCUACGGGAGGCAGCAGUGAGGAAUCUUGCGCAAUGGGGGCAACCCUGACGCAGCAACGCCGCGUGAGUGAGGAAGGUCUUCGGAUCGUAAAGCUCUGUCGGAUGGAAAGAACCGCAUAGGGGUAAACAGCCCCUGUGUCUGACGGUACCAUCAAAGGAAGCACCGGCUAGCUCCGUGCCAGCCGCCGCGGUAACAC